UACAUGGGGUGCAAACGUUGCUCGGAAUUAUUGGGCGUAAAGCGCACGUAGGCGGUUUGUUAAGUCGGAUGUGAAAUCCCUCGGCUCAACUGAGGAAGUGCAUCCGAAACUGGCAGGCUUGAGUACGGGAGAGGCGAGUGGAAUUCCUGGUGUAGCGGUGAAAUGCGCAGAUAUCAGGAGGAACACCGAUUGCGAGGCAGCUCGCUGGAACGUUACUGACGCUGAGACGCGAAAGCGUGGGGAGCAAACAGG
rnacentral:rRNA from 1 species